UACAGAGGUCUCAAGCGUUGUUCGGAUUCAUUGGGCGUAAAGGGUGCGUAGGUGGCGCGCUAAGUCGGGUGUGAAAUUUCGGAGCUUAACUCCGAAACUGCAUUCGAUACUGGUGUGCUUGAGGACUGGAGAGGAGACUGGAAUUCAUGGUGUAGCAGUGAAAUGCGUAGAGAUCAUGAGGAAGACCAGUGGCGAAGGCGGGUCUCUGGACAGUUCCUGACACUGAGGCACGAAGGCCAGGGGAGCAAACGGG
rnacentral:rRNA from 1 species